ACUCCUACGGAGGCAGCAGUGGGGAAUAUUGCACAAUGGGCGCAAGCCUGAUGCAGCCAUGCCGCGUGUGUGAAGAAGGCCUUCGGGUUGUAAAGCACUUUCAGUCGUGAGGAAGGUGGUAGUGUUAAUAGCACUAUCAUUUGACGUUAGCGACAGAAGAAGCACCGGCUAACUCCGUGCCAGCAGCCGCGGUAAUACGGAGGGGUGCGAGCGUUAAUCGGAAUUACUGGGCGUAAAGCGCAUGCAGGUGGUUUGUUAAGUCAGAUGUGAAAGCCCGGGGCUCAACCUCGGAAUAGCAUUUGAAACUGGCAGACUAGAGUACUGUAGAGGGGGUAGGAAUUUCAGGUGUAGCGGUGAAAUGCGUAGAGAUCUGAAGGAAUACCGGUGGCGAAGGCGGCCCCCUGGACAGAUACUGACACUCAGAUGCGAAAGCGUGGGGAGCAAACAGGAUUAGAU
rnacentral:rRNA from 1 species